CGGGGUGUGGCUCAGCUUGGUAGAGCACCUGCUUUGGGAGCAGGGGGUCGCAGGUUCGAAUCCUGUCACCCCGA
rnacentral:tRNA from 1 species